UGCAGUCGAGCGGUAGGUCCUUCGGGGGUAUUGAGCGUCGAAGGGUGAGUAAAGGAGCGACCUGGCCUGACUCUGGGAUAAGCUGGGAAACUGGGGAAAGACCGGAUAUGACCUCGUGCCGAUGGUGUGGGGUGGAAAGGUGUUUUUCCGGUCAGGGAUGGGCUCGCGGCCUAUCAGCUUGUUGGUGGGGUAACGGCCUACCAAGGCGAUGACGGGUAGCCGGCCUGAGAGGGCGACCGGCCACACUGGGACUGAGACACGGCCCAGACUCCUGCGGGAGGCAGCAGUGGGGAAUAUUGCGCAAUGGGCGGAAGCCUGACGCAGCGACGCCGCGUGGGGGAUGAAGGCCUUCGGGUUGUAAACCUCUUUUACCACUCACGAAGGCCCCUGGUUUUCUGGGGGUUGACGGUAGGUGGUGAAUAAGUUCCUUUCUAACUACGUGCCAGCAGCCGCCGGUAA
rnacentral:rRNA from 1 species